GCGGCCCCAGAGCCACCUUAUAGUACCCCCCUGAACAAUGCAGGAACAGACCUAUCCCUGCCCACAGCCUCAUAUGGGGUUACAGUGCUCACAGGGUUAUGGGACAUGUGGAGCCUUGUGGUCACGCGGACUUUUCUGGGGUUCUGGGCUCAUGUGGGGUUACUGAUCAGGGCUUCAACAUUAGAUCGAAAUGAACCCCAAUCCCCUCUCAGGAAGAAAUCAAUGAAUGCACUCCAACACCACUCCACAUCCCCCAUUCUGACCCCAAACCGCUCCCCACGAGCCCCCAAACCCCCCACGUACCCAUGCCACGUCAUGUCUCUGCACCCACAAGUCCCACCUGUACCUCACACCUCGCCUUCUCCUGUGAAGCACUCUGCUCCUGCAGGCUGUGGUCCAUAUCCCCUUAUCCUCCCCAAAUCCACCCAUGUUCUGAUCCGUGUUCCCCAGUAUCCCCAGUGCCACCCACAUCACUUGCACCCACAUCUGUGCCCUACACCUUCUCCAGCUCCUCAUUCCUCACCUGCAGAAGCCAUCCAUGUCACAGCACUGUGAGGUUGUACGGGAUCUGGAGGCAGGUCGGGGGGAAAAGAGGCCAAAGAUGGGCUAUGGGGGUCCUGGGAUGGUGAUGGGGGUCCUGUCAGGGACCAUGGGGGUCAGUGAGUUCCCAGGGGGGAUCUUGGAGGUGUAAAGGAGGUCUGAGGGAGGAAAUAGAAGGAUUCCGUGGAAGCCCAGUGGGGGACAUGGGGUGCUGCUGGGGACUGUGGGGCUCCAUGUGGCUAUGGGCCAGCUAUGGGGGAGGUGUACUGCGUCUGAGGGGGUCCUUGAGGGGCUCCAGGGCUCUCUGGGGGGCUACAGGGUGUCUCUAGGGGUCUUGCUGGGAAACACUGG
ensembl:lncRNA